rnacentral:tRNA from 1 species
GCGCUGGUGGUUCAGGGUAGAAUUCUCGCCUGCCACGCGGGAGACCGGGGUUCGAUUCCCCGCUAGCGCA